rnacentral:precursor_RNA from 8 species
UGAAGGAGUUCAUUCAUUGUCUCUAGGGUACAUCUUACCUGACAGUGCUUGGCUGUUCACUGAUGUUCUAACACUGUCUGGUAACGAUGCACUCUGGUGACUCAAUAAACCAUUAUGAUAU